ACCGGGGACCUCAUGGAGUGAAACAGUCCGAACCAGGUCAGAACAGGAAUGUGGCAGCCUUAAGGACCUCGUUUUAUGCCUUGAGAUAAUCUCCGGUGUU
rnacentral:SRP_RNA from 1 species